rnacentral:rRNA from 1 species
UGGGGAAUAUUGCACAAUGGGCGAAAGCCUGAUGCAGCAACGCCGCGUGAGUGAUGAAGGUCUUCGGAUUGUAAAGCUCUGUCUUUUGGGACGAUAAUGACGGUACCAAAGGAGGAAGCCACGGCUAACUACGUGCCAGCAGCCGCGGUAAUACGUAGGUGGCGAGCGUUGUCCGGAUUUACUGGGCGUAAANGGGUGCGUAGGCGGAUGUUUAAGUGAGAUGUGAAAUACCCGGGCUUAACUUGGGUGCUGCAUUUCAAACUGGAUAUCUAGAGUGCAGGAGAGGAGAAUGGAAUUCCUAGUGUAGCGGUGAAAUGCGUAGAGAUUAGGAAGAACACCAGUGGCGAAGGCGAUUCUCUGGACUGUAACUGACGCUGAGGCACGAAAGCGUGGGUAGCAAACAGGAUUAGAUACCCUGGUAGUCCACGCCGUAAACGAUGAGUACUAGGUGUAGGAGGUAUCGACCCCUUCUGUGCCGCAGUAAACACAUUAAGUACUCCGCCUGGAAGUACGAUCGCA